GCUGAGCAUGGUGGCGCAUGCCUGUAAUCCCAGCAGCUUGGGAGGCUGAGGCAGGAGGAUCACAAGUUCAAAGCCAGCCUCAUCAACUUAGUGAGGUCCUAAGAAGCUUAGCAAGACCCUGCCUCAA
rnacentral:sRNA from 1 species